GAAAUGCGAUAAGUAAUGCGAAUUGCAGAAUCCGUGAGUCAUCGAAUCUUUGAACGCACAUUGCGCCCUCUGGCAUUCCGGAGGGCAUGCCUGUUCGAGCGUCAUUAUCACCCCUCAAGCCCGGCUUGUUGUUGGUCGUAGCGGGGAGGCUCGCCCUCCCGCUCUUCCCAAAGAUAAUGACGGCGUCGGCCAGCCGUCGAACCUUUCUUUUGAUGGUUUGACCUCGGAUCAGGUAGGGUUACCCGCUGAACUUAA
rnacentral:misc_RNA from 1 species